rnacentral:tRNA from 1 species
GCCCGGGUAGCUCAAUCGGUAGAGCGUGUGGCUCUUACAAGACUACCUCAAGGUCGCGGGUUCGAGCCCCGCCUCGGGCU